rnacentral:tRNA from 1 species
GGGCAAUUAGCUCAGUGGGAGAGCGCCCGCCUCACACGCGGGAGGUCGUUGGUUCAAAUCCAACAUUGCCCACCA